AGUGAACGCUGGCGGUAGGCCUAACACAUGCAAGUCGAACGGCAGCACAGUAAGAGCUUGCUCUUACGGGUGGCGAGUGGCGGACGGGUGAGGAAUACAUCGGAAUCUACUUUUUCGUGGGGGAUAACGUAGGGAAACUUACGCUAAUACCGCAUACGACCUACGGGUGAAAGCAGGGGAUCUUCGGACCUUGCGCGAUUGAAUGAGCCGAUGUCGGAUUAGCUAGUUGGCGGGGUAAAGGCCCACCAAGGCGACGAUCCGUAGCUGGUCUGAGAGGAUGGUGGGGCAAACUGGAAGUGAGGCACGGUGGCGACUGAUACGGAGGGGAGCAGAGGGGAAGAUUGGACAAUGGGGGAAGGCAUGAUACAGUAAUACAGCGGAGGUGAAGAAGGCAUUCGGGUUGUAAAGACGUUUUAUGGGGAAAGAAAAGAAGCAGGAUAAUAACCCGGUGUUAUGACGGUACACAAAGAGUAAGAAACGGCUAACUUAGGG
rnacentral:rRNA from 1 species